GACACAAUCCGCAGCCCCUGGGUCUGUGCAGUGACCAGCCAGUCCCCUGAGAACUUUCCCCUCCAGCACCAGGGAAAAUGGGAUUUUUGCUCCUUGUGAUUUUCGCUGCAGCAGCUUUGGAAGGUGUCCGGUCCCAGGUGCAGCUGGUGGAGUCCGGAGGGGAUGUGAAAAAGCCCGGAGACUCUCUCCGCCUCUCCUGCAAAGCCUCUGGCUUCACCUUCAGCAGCUACCUUAUGCAUUGGGUCCGACAGGCUCCCGGGAAGGGGCUGAAGUGGGUGGCUGAGAUUAGGCCCGAUGGAUCAAGCCAGUCGUAUUCCCCAGCUGUUCAAGGGCGAUUCACCAUCUCCAGGGACAAUUCCAAGAGCCGAUUCACCAACUCCAGGGACAACUCCAACAACCUGCUGUAUCUGCAAAUGACCGGCCUGAAGCCCGAGGACACCGCCCGCUAUUACUGUGCGAGAGACACACACGGAGAUUAA